rnacentral:rRNA from 1 species
UAGUUCGUGGGGUGACUUGUCUGCUUAAUUGCGAUAACGAACGAGACCUUCACCUGCUAAAUAGCCAGGCUAGCUUUGGCUGGUCGCCGGCUUCUUAGAGGGACUAUCGGCUCAAGCCGAUGGAAGUUGGAGGCAAUAACAGG